rnacentral:rRNA from 1 species
UACGAGAGGCCCAAACGUUGUUCGGAUUCAUUGGGCGUAAAGGGUGCGUAGGCGGUCGGGUAAGUCGGAUGUGAAAUCCCAGGGCUCAACCCUGGAACUGCAUUCGAUACUGCCUGGCUAGGGUACUGGAGAGGAGACUGGAAUUUACGGUGUAGCAGUGAAAUGCGUAGAUAUCGUAAGGAAGACCAGUGGCGAAGGCGAGUCUCUGGACAGUUACCGACGCUGAGGCACGAAGGUCAGGGGAGCAAACGGG